rnacentral:rRNA from 1 species
CAGUCGAGCGGACAGAAGGGAGCUUGCUCCCGGAUGUUAGCGGCGGACGGGUGAGUAACACGUGGGUAACCUGCCUGUAAGACUGGGAUAACUCCGGGAAACCGGAGCUAAUACCGGAUAGUUCCUUGAACCGCAUGGUUCAAGGAUGAAAGACGGUUUCGGCUGUCACUUACAGAUGGACCCGCGGCGCAUUAGCUAGUUGGUGAGGUAACGGCUCACCAAGGCGACGAUGCGUAGCCGACCUGAGAGGGUGAUCGGCCACACUGGGACUGAGACACGGCCCAGACUCCUACGGGAGGCAGCAGUAGGGAAUCUUCCGCAAUGGACGAAAGUCUGACGGAGCAACGCCGCGUGAGUGAUGAAGGUUUUCGGAUCGUAAAGCUCUGUUGUUAGGGAAGAACAAGUGCAAGAGUAACUGCUUGCACCUUGACGGUACCUAACCAGAAAGCCACGGCUAACUACGUGCCAGCAGCCGCGGUAAUACGUAGGUGGCAAGCGUUGUCCGGAAUUAUUGGGCGUAAAGGGCUCGCAGGCGGUUUCUUAAGUCUGAUGUGAAAGCCCCCGGCUCAACCGGGGAGGGUCAUUGGAAACUGGGAAACUUGAGUGCAGAAGAGGAGAGUGGAAUUCCACGUGUAGCGGUGAAAUGCGUAGAGAUGUGGAGGAACACCAGUGGCGAAGGCGACUCUCUGGUCUGUAACUGACGCUGAGGAGCGAAAGCGUGGGGGAGCGAACAGGAUUAGAUACCCUGGUAGUCCACGCCGUAAACGAUGAGUGCU